rnacentral:rRNA from 1 species
UUAGAGUUUGAUCCUGGCUCAGGAUGAACGCUAGCGGCAGGCUUAACACAUGCAAGUCGAGGGGCAGCAUGGGAGUAGCAAUACUUCUGAUGGCGACCGGCGCACGGGUGCGUAACGCGUAUGCAACCUACCUGUAACAGGGGGAUAACACUGAGAAAUCGGUACUAAUACCGCAUAACACUAUGAGAGGCAUCUCUUGUGGUUGAAAGUUUCGGCGGUUACAGAUGGGCAUGCGUUGUAUUAGCUGGUUGGUAAGGUAACGGCUUACCAAGGCGACGAUACAUAGGGGGACUGAGAGGUUAACCCCCCACAUUGGUACUGAGACACGGACCAAACUCCUACGGGAGGCAGCAGUGAGGAAUAUUGGUCAAUGGACGAAAGUCUGAACCAGCCAUGCCGCGUGCAGGAAGACGGCUCUAUGAGUUGUAAACUGCUUUUGUACAAGGGUAAACCUGAAUACGUGUAUUCAGCUGAAAGUACUGUACGAAUAAGGAUCGGCUAACUCCGUGCCAGCAGCCGCGGUAAUGCGGAGGAUCCAAGCGUUAUCCGGAUUUAUUGGGUUUAAAGGGUGCGUAGGCGGAUUGAUAAGUUAGAGGUGAAAUGUCCGGGCUCAACUCGGGAACUGCCUCUAAUACUGUUGAUCUAGAGAGUAGAUGCGGUAGGCGGAAUGUAUGGUGUAGCGGUGAAAUGCUUAGAGAUCAUACAGAACACCGAUUGCGAAGGCAGCUUACCAAUCUAUAUCUGACGUUGAGGCACGAAAGCGUGGGGAGCAAACAGGAUUAGAUACCCUGGUAGUCCACGCAGUAAACGAUGAUAGCUCGUUGUCGGCGAUACACAGUCGGUGACUAAGAGAAAUCGAUAAGCUAUCCACCUGGGGAGUACGUUCGCAAGAAUGAAACUCAAAGGAAUUGACGGGGGCCCGCACAAGCGGAGGAACAUGUGGUUUAAUUCGAUGAUACGCGAGGAACCUUACCCGGGCUUGAAAGUUAGCGACUGAUCUGGAAACAGGUCUUCCCUUCGGGGCACGAAACUAGGUGCUGCAUGGUUGUCGUCAGCUCGUGCCGUGAGGUGUCGGGUUAAGUCCCAUAACGAGCGCAACCCCUACUGAUAGUUGCCAUCAGGUCAAGCUGGGCACUCUAUCGGGACUGCCGGUGUAAGCCGGAGGAGGGUGGGGAUGACGUCAAAUCAGCACGGCCCUUACGUCCGGGGCGACACACGUGUUACAAUGGUAGGUACAGAGGGCAGCUACCCAGCGAUGGGGUGCAAAUCUCGAAAGCCUAUCUCAGUUCGGAUUGGAGGCUGAAACUCGCCUCCAUGAAGUUGGAUUCGCUAGUAAUCGCGCAUCAGCCAUAGCGCGGUGAAUACGUUCCCGGGCCUUGUACACACCGCCCGUCA